rnacentral:rRNA from 1 species
AUGAGCCUGCGAGUUUGCGGUGUGUUGCGAGGUUAACCCGUGUGGGGAAGCCGUAGCGAAAGCGAGUCCGAAUAGGGCGAUUCAGUAGCGCGCUCAAGACCCGAAGCGGAGUGAUCUAGCCAUGGGCAGGUUGAAGCGGAGGUAAGACUUCGUGGAGGACCGAACCCACCAGGGUUGAAAACCUGGGGGAUGACCUGUGGUUAGGGGUGAAAGGCCAAUCAAACUCCGUGAUAGCUGGUUCUCCCCGAAAUGCAUUUAGGUGCAGCGUCGUGUGUUUCUUGCCGGAGGUAGAGCACUGGAUAGGCGAUGGGCCCUACCGGGUUACUGACCUUAGCCAAACUCCGAAUGCCGGUAAGUGAGAGCACGGCAGUGAGACUGUGGGGGAUAAGCUCCAUGGUCGAGAGGGAAACAGCCCAGAGCAUCGACUAAGGCCCCUAAGCGUACGCUAAGUGGGAAAGGAUGUGGAGUCGCACAGACAACCAGGAGGUUGGCUUAGAAGCAGCCACCCUUGAAAGAGUGCGUAAUAGCUCACUGGUCUAGUGAUUCCGCGCCGACAAUGUAGCGGGGCUCAAGCGUACCGCCGAAGUCGUGUCAUUCACACAAUAGGGCCAACGCCUGUGUGGAUGGGUAGGGGAGCGUCGUGUGCCGGGUGAAGCUGCAGCGGAAGCUAGUGGUGGACGGUUCACGAGUGAGAAUGCAGGCAUGAGUAGCGAUACACACGUGGGAAACGUGUGCGCCGAUUGACUAAGGGUUCCUGGGUCAAGCUGAUCUGCCCAGGGUAAGUCGGGACCUAAGGCGAGGCCGACAGGCGUAGUCGAUGGAUAACCGGUUGAUAUUCCGGUACCCGCUGUGAAGCGUCAAACAUUGAACCAGGCGAUGCUAAGUCCGUGAAGCCGCCCCGGAGCCUUCGGGCAAGGGGGAGUGGUGGAGCCGACGGACCAGACCUGCAGUAGGUGAGUGAUGGGGUGACGCAGGAAGGUAGUCCAUCCCGGGCGGUGGUUGUCCCGGGGUAAGGGUGUAGGACGAAUGGUAGGCAAAUCCGCCAUUCACAUAGUCUGAGACCCGAUGCCGAGCCGAUUGUGGUGAAGUGGAUGAUCCUAUGCUGUCGAGAAAAGCCUCUAGCGAGUUUCAUGGCGGCCCGUACCCUAAACCGACUCAGGUGGUCAGGUAGAGAAUACCGAGGCGUUCGGGUGAACUAUGGUUAAGGAACUCGGCAAAAUGCCCCCGUAACUUCGGGAGAAGGGGGGCCAUCACUGGUGAGGAGAUUUACUCUCCGAGCUGGGGGUGGCCGCAGAGACCAGCGAGAAGCGACUGUUUACUAAAAACACAGGUCCGUGCGAAGCCGUAAGGCGAUGUAUACGGACUGACGCCUGCCCGGUGCUGGAACGUUAAGGGGACCGGUUAGUCAAGAUUCGUCUUGGCGAAGCUGAGAACUUAAGCGCCAGUAAACGGCGGUGGUAACUAUAACCAUCCUAAGGUAGCGAAAUUCCUUGUCGGGUAAGUUCCGACCUGCACGAAUGGCGUAACGACUUCUCGACUGUCUCAACCAUAGGCCCGGUGAAAUUGCACUACGAGUAAAGAUGCUCGUUUCGCGCAGCAGGACGGAAAGACCCCGGGACCUUUACUAUAGUUUGAUAUUGGUGUUCGGUUCGGCUUGUGUAGGAUAGCUGGGAGACUGUGAAGUGGGCACGCCAGUGUCUGUGGAGUCGUCGUUGAAAUACCAGUCUGGUCGUGCUGGAUGUCUAACCUGGGUCCGUGAUCCGGAUCAGGGACAGUGUCUGAUGGGUAGUUUAACUGGGGCGGUUGCCUCCUAAAGAGUAACGGAGGCGCCCAAAGGUUCCCUCAGCCUGGUUGGCAAUCAGGUGUUGAGUGUAAGUGCACAAGGGAGCUUGACUGUGAGACCGACGGGUCGAGCAGGGACGAAAGUCGGGACUAGUGAUCCGGCGGUGGCUUGUGGAAGCGCCGUCGCUCAACGGAUAAAAGGUACCCCGGGGAUAACAGGCUGAUCUUCCCCAAGAGUCCAUAUCGACGGGAUGGUUUGGCACCUCGAUGUCGGCUCGUCGCAUCCUGGGGCUGGAGUCGGUCCCAAGGGUUGGGCUGUUCGCCCAUUAAAGCGGUACGCGAGCUGGGUUUAGAACGUCGUGAGACAGUUCGGUCCCUAUCCGCUGCGCGCGCAGGAACAUUGAGAAGGGCUGUCCCUAGUACGAGAGGACCGGGACGGACGAACCUCUGGUGUGCCAGUUGUCCUGCCAAGGGCAUGGCUGGUUGGCUACGUUCGGGAGGGAUAACCGCUGAAAGCAUCUAAGCGGGAAGCCUGCUUCGAGAUGAGUGU